GUACUCACUCAUGCAUAACUCUGCUUCAAAGCCUUGUGAAUAUUCACCUGACACAGGAGCCAACUGCUCAUUUGCAAACAAAUUUGUAAACAUAUUUCCGCAGCUAUCUUUUCGAGGGCUUGAGAUCGAAUAACCAUCUCCGUACCCUUCUGUUGCCUGAGCUUUCAGAGAUUCAAGUUGUGCUUGCAGACUCACUACCUGUGAAAAUUUUAACAUGGAACACCACUGUCAGUGUUGUCACCUAUUCCCUUACAGUGUAUGGCAAGACAAUAUUUCAAUACAGAGAACCAUCCAAAGAACUAAGACGCCUACAUAUAUAAGGGGACAGACAGAAAGAUAUCCAUGAUAGCACUACUACUCCCAUGGAGGAAUUUCGUCAUAAACUGUUUUUUCUUGUGAUGCUUCAAGGGCCUUUUAUGAUCAUACAGAUUUAUUAACUAGGGCAGCCCGUGAGCGUUGAGUUCUCGGCACUCGUCGGAGAGAAGAUGUGUGAGACGCAGCCAUAUAUUGGAUCACGGAGCCUGGCCUGUGCCUCAUAUGACAUGGUGACUGCGGCCUCGCAGCGGUCACUAACAGGGAGAUGCAUAAGGAGCUUUGAGGCAUUACUUGCCCCAAAUACCUUAUGGAUGGCGGCAAAGUGUGCAGCACCUUGCUCAUGGCAGAAGUAUGGCGCGAAGACACACCCCUUGACACACUUCCUGCGUAGGAACUUGCACGCGCCACAUGGUCCGUAAUGAAACAGCACAUGUCUACAUCGCCAGAUAUAAUGUUCACAAAAUAGGCCAAACCGAACUAUUUGCUGCACGCCUGUACCCAUAUCAAAAUGCAAGAGGGGUAUGUUGAGCUCAGUGUUUAUGAGAUAAGGAACAUGAUUAGGUUAGAAAAUGGCUUCCUGGUUCGUAUCAACCUUAUGUGCAUCCUACGUAACUAAACAGGUAGACAUCUGAAUAUGGCCAUUUUCCUUUCUUGGUUUCCUUGGAACUAUCAUAGUAGUAACAGCAAUCGGUUUGUUUAGUGUUUCUAUCAUGAAUCACAACCCUGCUAAUUUUGUAUAUUUAGGCAAAUAUAUUUUCCGUUAUAUUUAAAAUUGGCGUAUUUCCUCCAUCAGAAUGUUAAUUCAAAAAUCGGCAGAUUACAAGCUUAAGGUUAAGCCGGUCAAGUCAUAAAACAAGAUUAACCUAAUGAAGUAACAUGCUUGCAUCAAGUUGCUACUUUACAGAUACUCGUAUGCCAUGACAAUAUACAAAUGAAAAGGAGUUUAGUCAUUACCUGCCACACCAAUGACGUGUAUUUAGCUUUAAGUAGCUUUCUUUUCUUCACAACUAAAUUUUGCU